rnacentral:lncRNA from 1 species
AUGUAAGAGUAAAGUGUGUCCUACUCUUGUACAUUUGAAAUUGGUAAGUUGUGAUUUUUGGAUAAAACAAAGACUAACUAAGGCCAGUUGUGUGAAGUGUUUGUCUUGUUGGAUUAAUGUCUAAGUCCAUAACUAUAUUUGGUAUGUACUUGACCCGACCCGGCAUGGUCCAUUUGGGUUGCACUUCACCGGCAAAAUUUAUAUGGAUAAUCUUUUGAGAAUAGUAUAUUAAUAUAUUAUAAGUUCUAAUAUAUUGAUAUGGAAUCAUAUUAUUUAAUUAGUAUUGAUCAAGAAUUAAUUUAGAAUUAAUUAAGUGGUCAAAAUGAACUAAUUAAAUAUGGACUCUUAGAUAUAUGUGUGUGAUGAGCCAAGUUCAUUUAGGUUGGGCUAAGCUUUCAUGGAUAGUCCAUGGAGUGUUUAACCCAUGGAUCAUAUAAAAUGAAAGGUCAUGGAUUUAACCCCAGUCUCCACACUAUAUAAAGAUGUCCUUGGUUGGUGAAAUUGGCACUAGUGUGGGUAUACUAAGAGGGCUAGCUGAUUUUACUAGAGAGAACCAAAGUAUUCUUAUUCUCAAAGUCUUCCAAGGUGUUUUGGUGAUUUGUGAUUCCACUAGAGGCUUCCACACUAUUGGGGCUAAGCUCUUAAAGCAUGAAGACAUCAAGCUACACCAAAAGGUAUGUCAUCUAACUAGUCUUUGUAGUAUAGUUGCCUUAUAGUAUGCUAGUUAGGAUUAAAGCCUUGGAAAGUUCUUAUUUGCAUGUAUAAUAGAGAAAACAUAUAUCCAAGGUAUUUAAGGUUGCAUGUACACUUAGGAGUGUUAGAAUGCUCAUAACCCAACAGUGGUAUCAGAGCCUAGGCUUGUUUUCUUGUUACACUUGCAAAAACUAUUUAAAAAUCGAAGUUUUUUGCUAUCUGGACAACAGACUCGGCGAGUCCAACAGGGGACUCGAUGAUUCCAUGCCUUAAAAAUGUUCAAAACGAUCCAACUCGCCGAUUUGGUUCAUGCACUCGAUGAGUUGGACCCCCAGACAGCAUAUAUUCGACUUUUUUGGCUGGAAUUGGACUAGGAACAUUACCCUAAGAUGUUUUUCAACUUAUAAACCUAUUUUUGAUGUGGUAAUGUUCAUGCUAAUCCAAUUUCAAAGAUAAUUGUCAAUAGAUUCAUGUUUUGUAUUAGUUUAAGGUUUAGACUAAUUACAUGAAAAAGUUUGAUUUGAAUUAUCUUGUUCUUAUGAGUUGCUUAGAUUAAUAGAAAANNNNNNNNNNNNNNNNNNNNNNNNNNNNNNNNNNNNNNNNNNNNNNNNNNNNNNNNNNNNNNNNNNNNNNNNNNNNNNNNNNNNNNNNNNNNNNNNNNNNNNNNNNNNNNNNNNNNNNNNNNNNNNNNNNNNNNNNNNNNNNNNNNNNNNNNNNNNNNNNNNNNNNNNNNNNNNNNNNNNNNNNNNNNNNNNNNNNNNNNNNNNNNNNNNNNNNNNNNNNNNNNNNNNNNNNNNNNNNNNNNNNNNNNNNNNNNNNNNNNNNNNNNNNNNNNNNNNNNNNNNNNNNNNNNNNNNNNNNNNNNNNNNNNNNNNNNNNNNNNNNUCGUUAGCCGAACGGGUAUGACAAGGACUAGAAUUCUCCCUUCAUUAAAAGUAUUAAUGAUAAAUACUAAGUAACUAAACUUUUAUAAAUUCUCAAUCAUAGUUACAUAGGAAAAUGUGAAUUUGGUAGUAACCCAUGAAAUUACACUUUAAACUUUGCUUAAUUCGUUAGUGAAGCACGUGUGGGUAACCGACUCACUAACCUAGAUUGAACAAAGUAGGCAAAGGGUAACUUAAUGUUUAUCAUAGUAUCGGUAGAGCGCGUGUGGUUAACCGGCACAUCGAUUGAGGGGUAGAUAUUAAGGGUACCAAUUAUAUUUGCAUCGUUAUUCACACCUUGUUUUGUGAUCCUCGGCAUCCCAGUCACAAAACCUGAGAGGGCACAAUCGAGAUUGAAACAUGCCAUUGAACAGUUCAGUGAAUCUCAAAAGAUCUAGGAGUUUCAAAUCCAAGUAAAACCUAAUUAAAUUAUUUCGUUUUCAUGGCGGAAAUUGGUGAAUCGUCAUUUGCCUACCUUCGAAUAUUUUAUAGCUUGGAUUACGGAAUCCCUCUUCCAAGUUAUAAAAGUAUCGUGUUGGGUCCUAGCCUUAAUAUUUCAUCUUGGGUGUUAUACUAAGGACUUUAGAUCAACUAUCUUGAAAAUCUCCCAAAAGAUGUCUAGUUCAGACAUCUAUGAUCUUCCCAAAUCUCUUGGAACUUCACUUCCUCCACCUCCUCCAAUUAUUCUCCCUAACCCACAAGUUCCAGGUCACUCAAUCCCUAUUGGCACUCAAGGUCUGUGUGUGAUCGCAUCUUGGAGAUGAAGUCACAUAUUUACAAGCCGGGAGAGUUGGGUGUCAAAGUCUUGAGAAAGUUGGUGGCUCAACUACUUUCUAAAUCACAUAGUGAGUUCCUUUGGGACUCCUAUGAAAUAGACUAUGACAAGACCCUUAAUGAUCUUAUCUAUUUGCUAAGAUCAACUUCCUAAAACUUUAUGGACAUUGAUAAUGAUGACAUUGGAUAUCCAUUAAAGCUCUCUCUUCGCAAUGGAAAGGGAACGGCCAUAGUCAACUCGGUUGACCAAAUGGUAAAGAGAGAGGCUAAGUCUUAGAUAGUCCCAUUAUCAAGGGUCCAUUACCAAAGGAAGGGGCAUUGGUUGCGAAGCUGCCAAAUUUACCUGAAAGAUCAUAAGGUUGUUAAAGUCAAUAAGUUUGACUCUACUUCAGGUAAAUUCCACUAUCAAACUCUAUUAAGUUUCUAUUCUGAGACUCUUAUUACAUGAUGUGACUGGGUCACAUGUUGAUGUUUUAAGAAUCAAAGGAAAAAUGAAGGAAACUUAAAUAAAGAGUAUGUUGAAUCUGACCACGAAGAUGGAUUUCCAUUGCUUGAUUGAAGAUCAGAUUCUUGAGCUACUUCUUAGGAGUUAUGAUAGAUUGCUAGGAAACAUAUAAUAACAUAGUUUUCAUUUCAAGUUACAUUGUAAGGAAAGAGUUUUUCCGCAUUUUAAAAUAAAUAAAAGUUUGUUUUACUUUAUUUUAUCUCCUUACAAUAGCAUUCAUGAAAACUUGAUGUUUGUAUGUUUAUAGCAAUAUUGGAGAUAUGAACUUGAUUCUUUUAUUUGUGGUAGUGUCUAAAUUUACCAAAUAAAGAAAUAUUCUCAUCACCCAAGUUUCAAUUGGACCGAAACUUGGAAUCAUACAAGGUGUUGAGUGUGACGUGUGAAAAUUUUCAACUUUGGAAAAUUAAGACUAGUUCCGUGUUCAAAUGUAUAUGUGACUCAAGAGAAGGACUAAGGGAUCAAGCACACUUUCGUGUGCACUUGUCAAACUCCACCCCAAAACAUGGAUAAGACUAUUCUUCAUGAUUUACUAAGGUUUAGUAAAUAUGAUUAUACUUACAAGCAUAAGUAUAAUUCUGAAACAUUGGAAAAAUUCAAUGUAUGACAGAACGAAUAAGAAGAAUCAAAUUAGGCAGAAGGAUAAAAGUUUCUCAAAUCUGAAAAGAUGAGAGAGUACUUUAGUAUCAUGUUUUAAGAUCAUCUUAAUGAUUUUGAGACCUUAUCACAAUUCAUCCUCUAAGUGCAUUCUGAUAGUUAAGAAGAGGAGUUAUGAAUUGUUGAAGUGGUUAAAUCAAGAAGAUGAUUCAUACUUCGUUCCAAAAACAAUUCUUAGAGUUAUACUCUAAGAUUGUAACUUGAGUGACAUGUCUUAAAGAAGGUUUAAAACACUUGUAAAAUGUAAGAGUAAAAGUUUUCUACUCUUGUACAUUUGAAAUUGGUAAGUUGUGAUGUAUUGGAUAAAACAAAGACCAUCUAAGGCUAAUUGUGUUAAGUGUCUAUCUUGAUUAGAAUCCACACUAUCUCUUGAAUAUUUGGCAAGAAAGUCUUAUAGGUUAAGGAGACAGUGGGAGUCUAAAAGAUCCUGAAAGGGUUUCAAUAAGUAAUCAAGAAUAAAACCCUGUAUUUCAUCACUAGCACACAAAUAGAGGUUUAUAACCUAUCGUGUUGACAUUUCUAUGCCCAUUCCAGUUAAGUUGGCUAUACAUUUGAGUGCUACAUGUUCUCAAUUGUUUGCAUAGCUACUUGGAAGCAAUGGCAGGCCCUUGAGCUGCCAGGUGGCAAGAAGUUAAGAUUGCAUAAAUUCAAUACGUAUGAGUUAGUAUUUGUCACUAACCUAGUCUUGUGAUUAUGGUUUUGAAAAAUUCACGUGGAUAAGAACACAUACACCAUAAAAUCUAAGUGUCAUAAGGUUGCUCUCCGAUUCAUGAAAAUGAUGGUGAGGAAAUUCUUUCACUAACUAGAUUUUAAGUAAAUAGCAAUUGUGAUAUUUGCAGUUCUCAAAGUCGUUACUGGAGCGUGCAUGGUUAACCGGCACACUAACAUUGACUUAUGUGAAAUAGAAAAAAUUCUAAACAAUUGAGACUAUGAUUAUGGCAUCCCUUUUCAUAGUUCUGAAAUUGUUUAGACACACCUGUGAGCUAUCUAAGAUAAGGUAUAUGAUUUUGAUAAAGUCAUAUCAAAGCAAUCUAGUAUCAGAAAUCUGAACUUUGGUAAGAAUGUCAAUAAGGUAUUGACUUCUAGAGGUUCAGCUAAUUUUUGGAUACAUGUCAAAACUAGUAGAAGCAUAAGUGUUAUGAUAAUAAUCAUCAUGUUAGUGGGAGCAUGAUAAUUAUGGUAAGUAUUGCAAGUUAGCAAUGUUAAUUAUAGAAAAACAAAAAGUUUCAAUUCGUGAGGUUGUAGGGGUUGAAAAAGUUGUUUUGCUAUAAUUAAGGGAGAGGAAAUUAUACUUCAUUUCAAUUAUGAAAAGCUUAGAUUGAGUUUAUAAUCAUUCUAAAGAGCUUAUAUUGAGAUUUUAAUCACCUUCAGUCAAUAAUAUAUAUAUGAAUUUCAUGUUGGAUUGGUUCAACUUAAGAAAAUUCUCUAUAUUGCGUUCUCAAAAUUCGAUUAUGAUUACGGCAUCCCUUUUCAUAUUCAAAUUUUGAGAAUAUGGCAAACAAAAAAUAUUAUGGCAAAAGACUGGUAUAGAACCACGUCUUUAUGUGAAACAUCAUGAAUCGUGUCCCAUUUACUUUGGGUACAAGAUCGAUUACAUGUGCUAUAAUAUUUAUCCUUUCUGAAUUUUCCAAAUGCCUUGGGGCAUUAAGGAGGAAACUAUCGAGAAUUGGAUAUUACUAAAGUGAUUAAGAAAUUGUCUAGGACAAUCUAAGGUUUACCAAAGAUUGGUUGCUCAAGGACAGUUGGAAGUAUACUGUUAAUAUUGGAAGGACCAUAUUGACAUAGUCUGAAAAAAGGCAACUCUUGUUCAGAAGUGAUAGUCAAAAUGGGUGGAAACAAUCUGUGUAAGGUUAAAGAAACUUAAUGCAAAAAGCAUGUUCAAAGCAAUGCGCUUUGAAUUUGAGAUAUCGUCUCCGUGGAAUUGCUCUACAUUGGAAUACUCUGUAAUGAUUGUUGCCAAGCCUUUGUGGCUUUGUGCAUAAUCAUUACAAGAGGAACAGUGCAUAUAAGUUUAAAAUCUAAACAAACUUCGAUAAAUGAUAGGAAUUUGGAAUUCUUACAUUUAAGACAGGGAAUUGGGAGUGUGAAAAAGAGAAUCAUUGAAAUUAUGUUCGAUUGAUCUAAUUCACUAAGAAAAGGGUCAUAGAAAAACAUAGAGUUCAUACUUGGUGUAUGGCAAAGCUAUUGUUUAGAAAACACAAUGUACAUGCUUGGAGCAUGGGACACCUAGUGUUUUUUAAUUCAAGUAUAAAGUUGAUAAAACCAAAACAAUGAAUAAUGAGUAAUCAGUAUGGUGAUAAAUAGAAAGUGUUUUAUUUAUAUUCAUAGGUUUUGAUACCAUAUUAGAUUCAUUUAUUCUUGUGUUUCACUUUGCAUGUUUUGACUUCCAUNCUUUGCAUGUUUUGACUACCAUAAUAACUAGGUUAUUCUUAUGGAAUGACUAAGUUAUUCAAAUCAUCCACAGUCGGUCAUAUGUUGGAAGUAGAUAUGAAUCAAGACUGUCAUGGGUUGGCUUGUAGAGGUACCAAUUGGUGGACAAAGUUGUGCUACAACACUCAUGAGUGCUCAUGAGUUCUGAGUAUUGGAUUCAACCCACGCUCAUUUGAAUCACUUCAUGGAUUUUAUCACGAGUGAUCAUGAGACGAUAAUAUCUUAUAUUCUUCAAACCUAGAGAUAUGAGUUGUUACUAUGAGUUGAUAGUACAUUGAUUGCACGAAAACGCAUUGGUAACUCGAUGUUAUAAAACGUGCCUUUGUGUAUGAUUCAACAAGUAGUAGAACAAGCCAUAUGAGUCAAAGUUUAUCCAUUCCUUUUACCUUUGGGAUAAAAGCGAUAUUUGUGGGCCCCUCGAUGAUUUAAUGAUGAUACAUGUGAGUGCUUGGCCAAGCUAGGACUGAUUUGAUUUGUUCAAUCAGUCAGUCGUCAUGAAUCGGAAAUCGGGAAACAACAAAUGGACAGAGAGAAUGAUUAUUAAUCCAUGUCUCAGUCCAUAUGAUAUCUAGAAUGGAGGAAUAUAUGAUCCCUUAUCUAAUGGACAAGUUCGUUGACAAGAUCAGAGUUCGACAGCGGCUUUAAGAGCUACGAUUGCCAGUUAGGUUUUGAAGUCAUACUCAAUAAUAGUUUUAGACUUAUCCAAGUGGGAUACUGUUGGAUUAAUGUCUAAGUCCAUAACUAUAUUUGGUAUGUACUUGACCUGACCCGGCAUGGUCCAUUUGGGUUGCACUUCACCGGCACAAUUUAUAUGGAUAAUAUUUUGAGAAUAGUAUAUUAAUAUAUUAUAAGUUCUAAUAUAUUAAUAUGGAAUCAUAUUAUUUAAUUAGUAUUGAUCAAGAAUUAAUUUAGAAUUAAUUAAGUGAUCAAAAUGAACUAAUUAAAUAUGGCCUCUUAGAUAUAUGUGUGUGAUGGGCCAAGUUCAUUUAGGUUGGGCUAAGCUUUCAUGGAUAGUCCAUGGAGUGUUUAACCCAUGGAUCAUAUGAAAUGAAAGGUCAUGGGUUUAACCCUAGUCUCCACACUAUAUAAAGAUGUCCUUGGUUGGUGAAAUUGGCACUAGUGUGGGUACACUAAGAGGGCUAGCCGAUUUCACUAGAGAGAAUCAAAGUAUUCUUAUUCUCAAAGUCUUCCAAUGUGUUUUGGUGAUUUGUGAUUCCACUUGAGGCUUCCACACUAUUGGGGCUAAGCUCUUAAAGCUUGAAGACAUCAAGCUACAUCAAAAGGUAUGUCAUCUAACUAGUACUUUGUAGUAUAAGAGCUUCAUAAUAUGCUAGUUAGGAUU